AUAUAUGUACAUAUAUAUAUAUAUAUAUAUAUAUAUAUAUAUAUAUGUUUUUUUCCAACUAGUUAAAAUGCCGCUCAUUCUUCACGGGAUAUGAAACAUUGACAC